rnacentral:rRNA from 1 species
GCUCAGGAUGAACGCUGGCGGCGCGCCUAACACAUGCAAGUCGAACGGUACCUAUCUUCGGAUAGAAGCGAGUGGCGAACGGCUGAGUAACACGUGGAGAACCUGCCCCCUCCCCCGGGAUAGCCGCCCGAAAGGACGGGUAAUACCGGAUACCCCGGGGUGCCGCAUGGCACCCCGGCUAAAGCCCCGACGGGAGGGGAUGGCUCCGCGGCCCAUCAGGUAGACGGCGGGGUGACGGCCCACCGUGCCGACAACGGGUAGCCGGGUUGAGAGACCGACCGGCCAGAUUGGGACUGAGACACGGCCCAGACUCCUACGGGAGGCAGCAGUA